rnacentral:rRNA from 1 species
GCUACACAUGCAGUCGAGCGGGCGUAGCAAUACGUCAGCGGCAGACGGGUGAGUAACGCGUGGGAACGUACCUUUUGGUUCGGAACAACACAGGGAAACUUGUGCUAAUACCGGAUAAGCCCUUACGGGGAAAGAUUUAUCGCCGAAAGAUCGGCCCGCGUCUGAUUAGCUAGUUGGUAGGGUAAUGGCCUACCAAGGCGACGAUCAGUAGCUGGUCUGAGAGGAUGAUCAGCCACAUUGGGACUGAGACACGGCCCAAACUCCUACGGGAGGCAGCAGUGGGGAAUAUUGGACAAUGGGGGCAACCCUGAUCCAGCCAUGCCGCGUGAGUGAUGAAGGCCCUAGGGUUGU